GCAGGCAUCCAGGUGCAUUAUAGAUCAAGGUAUUAAGCUACAUGACAUGGAGUGCCAAACCACACAGCCCACUUUAAGAACAAAAAUGCUGCAUGUAUGCAUGCUGUAAACAUUGGUCAAUGCAGGAAGAGCUGUUAAAACAUCAAGAACGAAGGAUGAAAAGAAGAAAUCAAAGCCAAGAGGUGAACAACAUCAAAGGUAAUUUGGUAGAUGAUCAAGUAAUGGUAUAAUUUGAUUUCUUCAUGAAUGGAUAGAUUCAACAUCCGUGUUAGCGUUACUGAUUAGCCUUGUACAUUCCAAAAGCAGAGAAGAGUCACUCUAACAGCAGGGCAAGAAAUCUUUUGAGGUUUUAUUUAUGGGAU